rnacentral:rRNA from 1 species
AGUGAACGCUGGCGGUAGGCCUAACACAUGCAAGUCGAACGGCAGCACAGUAAGAGCUUGCCCUUACGGGUGGCGAGUGGCGGACGGGUGAGGAAUACAUCGGAAUCUACUUUUUCGUGGGGGAUAACGAAGGGAAACUUACGAUAAUACCGCAUACGACCUACGGGUGAAAGCAGGGGAUCUUCGGACCUUGCGCGAUUGAAUGAGUCGAUGUCGGAUUAGCUAGUUGGCGGGGUAAAGGCCCACCAAGGCAACGAUCCGUAGCUGGUCUGAGAGGAUGAUCAGCCACACUGGAACUGAGACACGGUCCAGACUCCUACGGUGGGCAGCAGUGGGGAAUAUUGGACAAUGGGCGCAAGCCUGAUCCAGCCAUACCGCGUGGGUGAAGAAGGCCUUCGGGUUGUAAAGCCCUUUUGUUGGGAAAGAAAAGCAGCAGGUUAAUACCCCGCUGUUCUGACGGUACCCAAAGAAUAAGCACCGGCUAACUUCGUG